AGUGAACGCUGGCGGUAGGCCUAACACAUGCAAGUCGAACGGCAGCACAGUAAGAGCUUGCUCUUACGGGUGGCGAGUGGCGGACGGGUGAGGAAUACAUCGGAAUCUACUUUUUCGUGGGGGAUAACGUAGGGAAACUUACGCUAAUACCGCAUACGACCUACGGGUGAAAGCAGGGGAUCUUCGGACCUUGCGCGAUUGAAUGAGCCGAUGUCGGAUUAGCUAGUUGGCGGGGUAAAGGCCCACCAAGGCGACGAUCCGUAGCUGGUCUGAGAGGAUGAUCAGCCACACUUGAACUGAGACACGGUCCAAGCUCCUACGGGAGGCAGCAGUGGGGAAUAUUGGACAAUGGGCGCAAGCCUGAUCCAGCCAUACCGCGUGGGUGAAGAAGGCCUUCGGGUUGUAAAGCCCUUUUGUUGGGAAAGAAAAGCAGCAGGUUAAUACCCCGCUGUUCUGACGGUACCCAAAGAAUAAGCACCGGCUAACUUCGUG
rnacentral:rRNA from 1 species